rnacentral:rRNA from 1 species
GACGAACGCUGGCGGCGUGCCUAACACAUGCAAGUCGAGCGGAAGUAGUUUGAUGGUAACUGAUAGCUGCUUUAGCGGCGGACGGGUGAGUAACACGUGGGCAACCUGCCUUGGAGUGGGGGAUAACACCGGGAAAUCGGUGCUAAUACCGCAUAACAUACAUUGACUGCAUGGUCGAUGUAUCAAAGGAGCAAUCCGCUUUAAGAUGGGCCCGCGGCUGAUUAGCUAGUUGGUAAGGUAACGGCUUACCAAGGCGACGAUCAGUAGCCGACCUGAGAGGGUGACCGGCCACACUGGAACUGAGACACGGUCCAGACUCCUACGGGAGGCAGCAGUGGGGAAUAUUGGACAAUGGGGGCAACCCUGAUGCAGCAACGCCGCGUGCGGGACGACGGCCUUCGGUUGUAACCGCUUUCUCGAGGACGAGCGAGGACGGUACCGUUAGGAAUAAGUCUCGGCUAACUACGUAG